GAUGAACGCUGGCGGCGUGCCUAAUACAUGCAAGUCGAGCGAACAGACGAGGAGCUUGCUCCUCUGACGUUAGCGGCGGACGGGUGAGUAACACGUGUAUAACCUACCUAUAAGACUGGGAUCACUUCGGGAAACCGGAUCUAAUACCGGAUAAUAUAUUGAACCGCAUGGUUCAAUAGUGAAAGACGGUUUUGCUGUCACUUAUCGCUGGAUCCCGGCCGCAUUAGCUAGUUGGUAAGGUAACGGCUUACCAAGGCAACGAUGCGUAGCCGACCUGAGAGGGUGAUCGGCCACACUGGAACUGAGACACGGUCAAGACGACUAAGGGAGGCAGCAGUAGGGAAUCUUCCGCAAUGGGCGAAAGCCUGACGGAGCAACGCCGCGUGAGUGAUGAAGGUCUUCGGAUCGGAAAAAUCGGUUAUUAGGGAAGAACAAAUGUGUAAGUAACUAUGCACGUAUUGACGGUACCGAAUCAGAAAGCCACGGCUAACUACGUG
rnacentral:rRNA from 1 species